rnacentral:rRNA from 1 species
AUGAAUUCGCUGGAUCCCCGAAAUGAUGAGGAUUGCAUUGAAAUGGCCGCUUUGCCUAAUUCUGAAGUUACCAAGUCAACUCACUGCUCAAGCCACCCUACUAAUGAGGGUAAAGAGCUUCAAGACGACAUUGAAAUUGUAGGCACUUCUAGUUUUGCUGCUAGGUGUCAACAUCUUUCAAGAUCUAAUGAUGUUGCUUACAACAUGCUCAAGAACUUCAGAGCACCUCAAUCAACUAGUUUUAAUCCUAAGAAGCAACAAGCUAUUUCUAGCCCAGAAGUAGAGAUCUUGUCAUCCGGGAGUGCCGCUAGACCUCCUUCAGCUACUCUUGUUCCUAAAGCUCAUGCACAAUCUUCCAUUGUUCCUAGUGGCUCAUCUCGCGGUCAUGUACCUCGCAGGAUGGUUGUUCCUGGUAGAUAUACCUCAGAUCCAUAUGUUGCUCAGGGUAAUAAGUUUCCUGUUUCUAAUCAAGAAGGCGUCACCACCUUGCAAUGGUGCAAAUACGAAUGCAUGAAACUUGGUGCAAGUUUGAAGCAAUUCGGUAUGACCGAGCUUAUUGUAGCUACCGAAAUCUUGCAACCUUGA